rnacentral:rRNA from 1 species
GGGACGAACGCUGGCGGCGUGCCUAAUGCAUGCAAGUCGCACGCGCGGAGCUUGCUCCGUGAGUGGCGCACGGCUGAGGAUCACGUGGGAACAUGCCUCCUUGUGGGGGACAACAGCGCGAAAGCGCUGCUAAUCCCGCAUACGCUCGGUGACGAGGAAAGCCGCAAGGCGCAGGGAGAGUGGCCCGCGGCCCAUCAGGUAGUUGGUGGGGUAAUGGCCUA